rnacentral:tRNA from 2 species
GGAGAGGUGGCCGAGUGGUCGAAGGCGAUUGAUUCGAAAUCAAUUAUUCUCGUGAGGGUACCGGGGGUUCGAAUUCCUCCCUCUCUG